GAGUUUGAUCAUGGCUCAGAUUGAACGCUGGCGGCAGGCCUAACACAUGCAAGUCGGAGCGGGAAACGAUGGGGAGCUUGCUCCCAGGCGUCGAGCGGCGGACGGGUGAGUAAUGCAUGGGAAUCUGCCCGGUAGUGGGGGAUAGCCCGGGGAAACCCGGAUUAAUACCGCACACGCCCUGAGGGGGAAAACAAGGGAUCUUCGGACCUUGUGCUAUCGGAUGAGCCCAUGUCGGAUUAGCUGGUUGGUGGGGUAACGGCUCACCAAGGCGACGAUCCGUAGCUGGUCUUAGCGGAUGAUCAGCCACACCGGGACUGAGACACGGCCCGGACUCCUACGGGAGGCAGCAGUGGGGAAUCUUGGACAAUGGGGGCAACCCUGAUCCAGCCAUGCCGCGUGUGUGAAGAAGGCUUUCGGGUUGUAAAGCACUUUCAGUGGGGAGGAAAGCCUGUUGGUUAAGAGCUGACAGGGGAAUACGUUACCCACAGAAAGAAGCACCGGCUAACUACCAGUG
rnacentral:rRNA from 1 species